UUAGGAAUCUUGCUCAAUGGGGGAAACCCUGAAGCAGCGACGCCGCGUGCGGGAUGAAGGCCCUCGGGUCGUAAACCGCUUUCAGCAGGAACGAAAUUGACGGUACCUGCAGAAGAAGCCCCGGCCAACUACGUGCCAGCAGCCGCGGUAAUACGUAGGGGGCGAGCGUUGUCCGGAUUCAUUGGGCGUAAAGAGCUCGUAGGCGGUUCGCUAAGUCAGGUGUGAAAUCUCCGCGCUCAACGCGGAGGGGCCACCUGAUACUGGCGUGACUCGAGUCCGGUAGGGGAGUGUGGAAUUCCCGGUGUAGCGGUGAAAUGCGCAGAUAUCGGGAGGAACACCAGUGGCGAAGGCGGCACUCUGGGCCGGAACUGACGCUGAGGAGCGAAAGCGUGGGUAGCAAACAG
rnacentral:rRNA from 1 species